rnacentral:rRNA from 1 species
UGGCGGACGGGUGAGUAAUGUCUGGGAAACUGCCUGAUGGAGGGGGAUAACUACUGGAAACGGUAGCUAAUACCGCAUAACGUCUCCGGACCAAAGUGGGGGACCUUCGGGCCUCACACCAUCGGAUGUGCCCAGAUGGGAUUAGCCUGUAGGUGGGGUAAUGGCUCACCUAGGCGACGAUCCCUAGCUGGUCUGAGAGGAUGACCAGCCACACUGGAACUGAGACACGGUCCAGACUCCUACGGGAGGCAGCAGAC